GACGAACGCUGGCGGCGUGCUUAACACAUGCAAGUCGAACGGAAAGGCCCUGCUUGCAGGGUACUCGAGUGGCGAACGGGUGAGUAACACGUGGGUGAUCUGCCCUGCACUUCGGGAUAAGCCUGGGAAACUGGGUCUAAUACCGGAUAGGAGCCAUUUUUAGUGUGAUGGUUGGAAAGUUUUUUCGGUGUAGGAUGAGCUCGCGGCCUAUCAGCUUGUUGGUGGGGUAAUGGCCUACCAAGGCGGCGACGGGUAGCCGGCCUGAGAGGGUGGACGGCCACAUUGGGACUGAGAUACGGCCCAGACUCCUACGGGAGGCAGCAGUGGGGAAGAUUGCACAAUGGGCGCAAGCCUGAUGCAGCGACGCCGCGUGGGGGAGGACGGCCUUCGGGUUGGAAACUCCUUUCGCUAGGGACGAAGCUUUUUGUGACGGUACCUAGAGAAGAAGCACCGGCUAACUACGUG
rnacentral:rRNA from 1 species